CCGGUCACGUGAUAUGCUAAAAUUAUCUUGUAUCAGUAAUGCUGUGUCAUCACUGCGUCUGAAUGCGCAAAUCUAAUAGACCAAUCAAGUUUGUCAAUCAUUCCUGGCGCAUGCGCCAACUUGAGCCAAUCAGAAAGAUGAGCGCUCUAGUAAUUUGUCAGACUUACUUCCGGGACCAGUAGAUGCCUUCGAGUUAUGCCAUUCUCACUGGCGAUAUCUUUCACCUAUUGCAAGGAUUUGAUGUGUGCAUUUAACUAAACCCAUGCGGUCGGAACAAAAGAUUUGAUCGGAUCAAGGAGUACAGUGUGCGUCUCGUUCUGUCGCCUUAUAUUUUCAGGGCGAUAUAGCGAUGACCCUAAUCAGUCACCAUACUGCAGCAUGUGGGAGUUUUAUUUUGCUGGUAUCAAUGCUUUAGGGGAGAACAAGUUUGAUUUGAUGUGGGAUUAUUACAUUUCAAUGACUGAAGAUGUAAGUGGCGGGACAGAGUCAUGGAUUUCACACACACACCUGGUUUGGCCACAGUGACUAAUGACAAGACGAAUCAUUUGAUAAAUGUAAGGAUACGGUGGAUUCAGUGCUUAACAACUUCAGCGUCUGUGUCUGCGUCUUCGCCUACACCUGUACAGGAGUCACCGCAUCGACUUGGAGACCUACACACACACUUCUGUCGCCGGCAGAUCGUCUGCUGACCAUAACAUCCCUAUGGAUGGGAGCUAGGGAGCCGGCCCAUCCCAGAACGACGAUCUACAGUAUACAUAAGCCGACGGCAAAACCGCUAUCGAGAACCAGUGGCGGAUAGACCACUCGGACCACGGAUGUGACGUCAUCAUUUGCGGAGAUUUGAACGCUCGUGUAGCGUGGGCGUAACAACCCACCACAGACACUCGACCAUCACGGUCUAGACGAAGCUGCGUUCCCAGAGGAAGUAUCUGUGCCAGUAAAUGACAGACAAACAUGCGACAGUUCUGUAAACACCUUUGGACGCAAACUGAUUGACUUACGCUUGUCUCAUAGUUUGUAUAUUUUUAACGGUAGAACCCCCAGUGACAAUACAGGAGAGUUUACUUAUAUAUCGCAACAAGGUUGUAGUGUAGUUGACUACUUUAUUGGUACUGCUGAUUUAUUCUAUAUGCAUCAUGAUGUUAUAUGCCUUGGAUUCUUUGUGUUGAUUCCGUAGCAGCUCCUUUCCAUUAACUCGCAGGUGAUAUAUCUCUGAAGCCCAUAUCACAAAACGACGGCAGCUUUACUUACAAGUGGAAUGACAAUAUGGCUUCGGAUAUUUUCAUUUCCCUUAGUAAUUCAUGUCCUUCAUUAAGAUAUGAUUGAUGGAGUUGCCGAUAACCUCAAUAAGGGUUUAGAUAUGUUCGUGAACGCUGUUCUUUCCGCAUCUGAUUGUAUGAAGAAAUCCUUUAAAAGUGGGUCAGUUGGUAUUAAUAGAGGAUUUUAUAAUCUGAAAUGUAAAAAGGCUAAGCAAGAAGCGCCACAGCAUUUGAGACGUUUUAGACGUCAUAAAUCAUGCGAAAGUAAACGUGCCUACU